AUUGAACGCUGGCGGCAUGCUUUACACAUGCAAGUCGAACGGCAGCGCGGGCUUCGGCCUGGCGGCGAGUGGCGAACGGGUGAGUAAUACAUCGGAACGUGCCCAGUAGUGGGGGAUAGCUCGGCGAAAGCCGGAUUAAUACCGCAUACGACCUGAGGGUGAAAGCGGGGGAUCUUCGGACCUCGCGCUAUUGGAGCGGCCGAUGGCAGAUUAGCUAGUUGGUGGGGUAAAGGCCUACCAAGGCGACGAUCUGUAGCUGGUCUGAGAGGACGACCUGCCACACUGGGACUGAGACACGGCCCAGACUCCUACGGGAGGCAGCAGUGGGGAAUUUUGGACAAUGGGCGAAAGCCUGAUCCAGCAAUGCCGCGUGUGUGAUGAAGGCCUUCGGGUUGUAAAGCACUUUUGGCGGGAACGAAAAGGACUGUGCCAAUACCACGGUUUGAUGACGGUACCCGCAGAAUAAGCACCGGCUAACUACGU
rnacentral:rRNA from 1 species